ACCUGGAUACUUAGUACGGCGAGUGAGCGGUAAAAGCUCAAAUUUGAAAUCUGGUACUUUCAGUGCCCGAGUUGUAAUUUGUAGAAUUUGUCUUUGAUUAGGUCCUUGUCUAUGUUCCUUGGAACAGGACGUCAUAGAGGGUGAGAAUCCCGUUUGGCGAGGAUACCUUUUCUCUGUAAGACUUUUUCGAAGAGUCGAGUUGUUUGGGAAUGCAGCUCAAAGUGGGUGGUAAAUUCCAUCUAAAGCUAAAUAUUGGCGAGAGACCGAUAGCGAACAAGUACAGUGAUGGAAAGAUGAAAAGAACUUUGAAAAGAGAGUGAAAAAGUACGUGAAAUUGUUGAAAGGGAAGGGCAUUUGAUCAGACAUGGUGUUUUUUGCAUGCACUCGCCUCUCGUGGGCUUGGGCCUCUCAAAAAUUUCACUGGGCCAACAUCAAUUCUGGCAGCAGGAUAAAUCAUUAAGAAUGUAGCUACUUCGGUAGUGUUAUAGCUUUUUGGAAUACUGUUAGCCGGGAUUGAGGACUGCGCUUCGGCAAGGAUGUUGGCAUAAUGGUUAAAUGCCGCCCGUCUUGAACC
rnacentral:rRNA from 1 species